UGGGGAAUAUUGCACAAUGGAGGGAACUCUGAUGCAGCAACGCCGCGUGAACGAGGAAGGCUUUCGAGUCGUAAAGUUCUGUUUUAAGGGAAGAAGAAGUGACGGUACCUUAAGAGCAAGCCACGGCUAAUUACGUGCCAGCAGCCGCGGUAAUACGUAAGUGGCAAGCGUUAUCCGGAAUUACUGGGCAUAAAGCGUUCGUAGGCGGUUAAGAAAGCCAGGUAGUGAAAGCCACAGGCCUAACCUGUGUAAGCUAAUGGAACUUCUUAACUUGAGUACAGUAGAGGAAAGUGGAAUUCCUAGUGUAGUAGUGAAAUGCGUAGAUAUUAGGGAGAACAUCAGUAGCGAAGGCGACUUUCUGGACUGUAACUGACGCUGAGGGACGAAAGCGUGGGUAGCGAACA
rnacentral:rRNA from 1 species